UACGUAGGGCGCAAGCGUUGUCCGGAAUUAUUGGGCGUAAAGAGCUCGUAGGCGGCUUGUCACGUCGGGUGUGAAAGCCCGGGGCUUAACCCCGGGUCUGCAUUCGAUACGGGCUGGCUAGAGUGUGGUAGGGGAGAUCGGAAUUCCUGGUGUAGCGGUGAAAUGCGUAGAUAUCAAGAGGAACACCUGAGGUGAAGACGGGUUGCUGGGCCAGUUCUGACGCUGAGGAGCGAAAGCGUGGGGAGCGAACAGG
rnacentral:rRNA from 1 species